rnacentral:misc_RNA from 1 species
GAUGAAGAACGUAGCGAAAUGCGAUAAGUAAUGUGAAUUGCAGAAUUCAGUGAAUCAUCGAAUCUUUGAACGCACAUUGCGCCCCUUGGUAUUCCGAGGGGCAUGCCUGUUCGAGCGUCAUUAUAACCCCUCAAGCUCAGCUUGGUAUUGGGGCCUGCCAUCCUGGCAGCCCUUAAAAUCAGUGGCGGUGCCAUCCGGCUCUAAGCGUAGUAACUCCUCUCGCUAUGGAGUCCUGGUGGAUGCUUUGCCAUUAAUCUUUUAACUUCUAUGGUUGACCUCGGAUCGGGUAGGGAUACCCGCUGAACUUAAGCAUAUCAAUAAGCGGAGGA